rnacentral:rRNA from 1 species
GACGGAGGGGGCAAGCGUUGUCCGGAAUCACUGGGCGUAAAGCGCACGUAGGCGGGACGGUGCGUCGGUGCUGAAAGCGCCAGGCUUACCCUGGCGAGGCGUGCCGAUACGACCGACCUCGAGGCAGACAGAGGGUGGCGGAAUUCCGGGUGUAGUGGUGAAAUGCGUAGAGAUCCGGAGGAACGCCGGUGGCGAAAGCGGCCACCUGGGUCUGACCUGACGCUGAGGUGCGAAAGCGUGGGGAGCGAACAGG